rnacentral:rRNA from 1 species
UAGAUAGAAACCGACCUGGCUCACACCGGUUUAAACUCAGAUCAUGUAAAAUUUUAAAGNGUCGAACAGACCUAACCUAUUAGCUUCUACACCAAUAAUAAAUYWUAAUCCAACAUCGAGGWCGCAAACAAUYWUUUCGAUAAGAACUCUUAAAAAAAUYACGCUGUUAUCCCUAAGGUAAUWUAAUCUWUUAAUCUCAACUWCAGGAUCAUUCACUWACAAAUAAAUAUUUAUAUACAAAAAAAAGWUCAUCUAAUWUUUCUAUCUCCCCAAUAAAAUACAAAAUWUAAAACUUAACAAAACUAUACCUAUUAUUUAAACUUUAAAAAAUAUAUCAAACUCUAUAGGGUCUUCUUGUCUUCUAUAAAUAUUUAAGCUUUUUAACUUAAAAAUAAAAUUUUAAUAAAUUUUUACAGAGACAGCUACUUUUUCAUCAAACCCUUCAUUCAAGCUUUUAAUUAAAAAACUAGUGACUAUGCUACCUUUGCACGGUCAAUAUACCGCGGCCAUUAAAUUACUCAUUGGGCAGGCCUGACCUGAAAUUAUAAUCAACAAGCCAUGUUUUUAAUA